CUCUCCUCUUUGGUAUUCACAAACCCUAAUAUACUGCCUCCGCUCUUUUUUUCACCCGCUUCCUUUAAACCCUAAUUUCAGUUUCAUAUUACCAUUUAUUGGUGCUCCGUUUCUUCUUCUUAUGACAGACUAAGUUUUAUGAGAGACAAUCAAGUUUCUACUCUUCAAAGCCUAAUUGGUUCAGCAGUGUCUGCCUCUGCAAUAAUCAUAUCGACAAAACCAAGAGCGCUAUCCAAAUCAUAAAAGAAACCCUAAUGGCAUCGCUAAUACAGUCGACAACAACCAAUUGGCAACAAGGGUGGUUUGUUGAUUCGUUUAACGCCGUUCAAAUCUGUCUCUUCGUUGGCGUCGGAUAAUCUUGAUUUUUUCCGGAUUUGAUUAAGGAAAUGUGCAUAUCCAGAUCACAUCUGCUCAAGGCUCUUCUAACCCUAAACUUAUUGAUUGAUCCUAAUAGUUCUUGGAGUUUAACUCAUGGUCAAAAUGUUCAAGAUGUCGUGAUCAAAGGUUUUGUUUUCUUUAGCUCCCUGAUUUGAAAAUGUCGAAGCUAUGAUGCGUAAGCUGAGCUUGAAAGGUUAUGAUGGUUGCUUGAUCGUCUGUAAUUAGCGUAGAAACUGUGUGUGUGAGGUGUUUGAAAGGUUAUGAUGGUUGCUUGAUCGUCUAUCUGAUAUUCAGAUGGAAGAGACACCGGAUGUGAAGAAUCGGAGAUUGUAGAGGGAGUUAAUGACGAUAGUAGUUUAGAAGCGUAUAAUAGCAGUCUAGGCUGGGAAGCGGCUGCUGUUGGUAGUAAAAUCAGUGUGGUUAAGAAUGUGCUUCGUUGUAGGUGUAGGUUUCAUCGAUUCGAAGAGAAUAAUUUAGGGGAGGAGUUGUCAUUAGAGUACACAAAUAAGUUUUUUACGAUGGUGUUUGGGAAUGGAGUUUAGAAGAGGAUACUUGCACAAUGGAGCAAACAAGGCAUUAGGUAUGUAAGAGUUUACAAGUUUAUAGAAUGAUUAAACGCUGGUGGUGCACAAGAACUUGAUCCGCGGUGCUAAUAUGGCGUCAAUGCGGUGACAAACAAGACGAUGGCAGCGAUGCACGCAACUGAUUCGGUGGUGAUCGGUGGCUUUGUCACAGCAGUGAAAGAUAUCUCUGAUAUAAAAUACUUCAAUAUUCAGGUAUGAGGUUUUCUUAAGGAAUUUUUAUUUAUCUAUUUGAUAUGCUUGAUUUGAAACCUUCAGGCUUAAGGAUAAACAACAUAGUAGUGGUGGUGCUACCUCUAGACUAACUUCAAAUUAUGCCUUCACACCUGUGCAGGCAUUGAUCAUCUGAUAGAUCCACAGGCAGACGCUAAUACACUUAGGAGUGGAACUCAGAGCACAUACUUUCUCGGAAACAAGAAAAGGAACAUUUUCAAAGAUCAAGUGAACCCAAGCCCCAUUUCACUAAAGUGAGAUAGAUCCAUGUCAAUAAUCUUUGACAACCCAACGUCGGCUAGCGUCGCAUGAAAGUUCAUAUUUAGGAGAAUGUUCGUCGGCUGGCAUAAUCUAAACAUCAAAAAGCAACAUGAAAAUUGACUUCAAUUCCAUCAGGUACACUUUUUAGCUCUUGAAAUUUUAAUAAUGUUUUCUACAAAAUAUGUUUACAAAUAGUUUUCUAAUAGUGUUUUCAAGGAGGCGUAAAGCGAAACAACUUUGUUCUAAACAUAGUUGUUAAUGGCGAAUAAUGGGCGGCUAUUUUAUAAAUAGUAAUACACUAGAUUUUAAAAAAAAAUUAUAUAUAUAUUAUAUCAAAAUACCAUGGCAUAUAUCUAACAAAAAACCUAAAAUCCAGCUAUUUUAUAGCUAUAUUUAAUUGUUAUUUAUAUUAAAAAAACAAAAAAAAAUUGCCGUUAUUAUCACUAUCUAUUGCUAAUAGCGAGCCUAGACCUAUACGCUACGUAGCGCGCUUUAGCGAUCGUUGCGCUCGCUAUUAACAACCAUGGUUCUAAACAGUUUUGGUUGUUGGUUUUUUAUUCUAUUGUUUGUUAAGCCGCUACAAAACGAACGCGUAUCACCUACGAACCUUGGCAAUACGGCAUGAAGGGGUUACCUACCGAAACUGAAUAUGUAAGGGUGAACGGAGUCGUAGGUAAACUCCAUCAGUAAACACCUUUACCGAAGCGAUAAACCACCGCCAACAACCUCUUUACCGAUUUUGGUUGAGGGGUUCGGUGAAGCUACACCGAUUCGAUGAGAGGGAGGGAAGGGGGGAUAGAUGGGUGUGUGGUGGGGUCCAUUACUUCUCAACCAAUCACACAUUUUUUCCUUUUUUUUUAAUAGUUUACCUAAAUCCCAUUAGGUAAACACCCGCCAACGUUUUUUAGCAUUAUGUAACUUGUUUAGGUGAAUUGACAUGACAAUGUGUGAGUAGGUGAAUUAGGAGUUUACCUAUUUGGAAUAGGUAACUACUCCCUUCAACCUAAGUGAUACUAUAUCUAAAAAAUGGAUUACCGGCAAUGUUUUCUUUAUAUUUUCUUAUAUUUAUCCUUUUAGGUUUAGUGUUUUUUACUAUUCACUAUUUUUAGAGAUAACUAAAUCCUUAAUGUUCAUUAUUAAUCUUGAGAUUAUUGUGGCUUGAAUUUUACUUUUUGAAGGUUCAAAAUAGUGGAUUCACGGUUUAGUUGACUUUUGUAAACUAAUACAAAAUCUGUUACAAUCUUUUUAAGUUUAUUCUUGAUAUAUUGGAAUCAUGGUGAAAUCAUCAUUUUGACAUAAAGUUGCAAACAAAUUGCCAGCUGAAGUCGUCAAACUUUUCGAUCUUGGGGAAAUACACACUCUACGUUACUAUUAGGGAUACUGAUGCAAAACAUCUCAGACAAUGAAUAUUUUGUUACCGAGUUUAGCAAAUGGAUAUUCCAUGAAGGAUGAAUUUUGGUCAGAACUAAUGAUUGAUAAUGUGGGUCAAAAUGGUUUAGGCUGGGUUACCCUGUGAAAAAAAAAAUUGCUCCUCUUAAAUUUGUAAAUAAUUAACAUGUAAAAUCAUACUAUAUUGUUAAAAUACUAAGCUAAUCCCUUUUUAAUAAAGUAGUUACC